AAAUGUCUACACGUGCAUUUUAAAUAGUUGCAAUCACUAUAUAACCAGUACACAUAAUAAUUCAAGAUGUCUGCAGUUACGAGUUGACUGCACUACAACUUCUGAAAAGGUGCAAUGACAAUUCUCAUCAUCAUCAAGUUACGGUCUCAGUUCUUUCAUGCUGCCGUUUUGUGCGCCCCAGCACCUCCUCAUCACCACCCAGUCUUCACAGAUUCGUCAGUGCAUCACUUCAUCAACUUCAUCAGCCUCAGCAGAAGUCAUCAGCCACCACCACCACCAGCCUGGACUCCAAGGGGGGAUCUAUCUUGCUGCUGCUCAGGACUGAUGUCCUUCUAUUCAAAAUCUCCCUGUAGAGUCUUUGUCUAAAGA